rnacentral:misc_RNA from 1 species
CUUCUUUUUCAAGUCAUUCAAAGAGAGCAUGAGAUGCAUCAACUAUGUUAGUUGCUUUAUUUAAGCAAAUGCCAUUCCCCUAUGCAGAGGAAGAAGGUAUUCGCAGCAAGUACUGCUUCAUGCGCAGCUGAUUCUCAAACAAGAAGAGCGUAUUCUGUAAUAGGAGAUUUGCCCCCAACUUGGCCUGGGAUACCUUGAUUAGAUAGGCUAUUUUCUGUGUCAAAGAGCAGAUUCUCGGCAUCAAUUCCAUUCCUGGAUAUCACUACUCUUGAUUCAAUUCAUCUGCACCUCCCUCACAGUUUGCAUGAGAUUCCCCCUACUCUAUGUUAUUGUAAGCCUUAGUGUAAGCCUGAGGUAGUUUUCCUCCAGCAGUUCAGUUCCUUUCCUUGGUCUGAGAGUCUUGUUAAAGUUUUCAAUUUCCUUUUUCUUUUCUCUCCCGUACUUCUCUUCCUUUCCUUCCUUGUCCAGUAAGGUAUGAAGCACUAGCUCCACCACAGCUUCUUCUCGAGCAGCUCUUAUUCCAACUGUAGCACCGCUUACGAGAGCAAGCAAGGGGGAUUUUCUUAUUCUUACUUAAGUGUCCUGCAAAGGCUCACUCUCUAAACGCGACUUGAGAUCAGAUGUCGG